rnacentral:misc_RNA from 1 species
AUUAGGUCGCAUUAUUUAUUUUUAUGGAACGUUAUACUUGACCUUUGAAAGAUGAGGAAAAAAAUUGUAUUCAUGCCGAAAAUUGUUCGCAUAGCGAAUAAGAAGAAAGAGAAAUGGACGAACGGAAUUUCAGUGAUUUGUCACAUUCGCGGCUUGUUUAGUAUGGAAUAAAUGAAAAUUCAUUUUCGAAUUGGAAUUGUGGCAUGUAGCAGUGAUAUAAAAGAAGUACUAAACGAUAUAACACACACAUAACAUAACGCAUUUUCACACCAAGAAACAUUAACAUGACUAUUCACAAUACGUAACAUACCUAUUGUUUCUGUGAGUCUCUACGUAUUAUUAUUGCUUACUGUUGCUUUGACGCUAAUAUGAUCGUAAAUUUCAUGCUGGUACUAACGCAAGCUGCAGGAUUGGAAAUCUAAAAAAUACAAAGAAGGUGUUGCAUACAAAGAACGAAGACAUUUAUUUGACUGGGUCAAAUAUGGUGAAACAAGUGUAUUUUAGAGUCGAAGAAAUUUUAUAAUUUGGUAAGCGAAUUGCGUUAUUUAACGAAACGCCAUUUAUCUGUCUCGAAUGAAAAAUAUUUGAGGCAAAUAAUUCUUAUGACUAAUUGUAAAUAUAUUCGGUGAAUUUGCAAAAUACUUUCUCUGCGCGUGGAGCAACCGAAAGACUCCUCUUACGUUUUGUGGGAUCAAUUUCGGAAAGUAUGAAUGCUAGAAACUGGUCAGUGUAAAACCAGACUGAUAAAAAACCUUAUUCACCAUUAACAGAAGGAAUAAAAGUAAUCUGUACUCUCUAUGUUGAAUGUCUCUCUUUCGCUUUCUUAUUGCUUUCUUGAUACUUUCUUAAGUUUUCUUUGCCGGUACUAACCCUCUUAUGCAUUUCUUGUAUCUAAUAACAAUUCUGCCACGGAGAUUGAUAACGGUAGUAAAACUGAAAGAAUAACGGACUUGAGUUGUGAACAGUUAAAUUGAUGGAAAAAUUCUUGGGAAACUAAAUUACUUUCGCUUUAAGCCACAGUGGUCUGAAAAGUGCUCGAUAGAUCGAAGGCUUUCCACAAAAUGAAUCUUUGGUUUAUUAUACAUAUAUUUGAAAAAUGGCGAGCAGAGCAAGUUAGAAUCUCAAGUCCUAGAAUCCUCCGAGAACUUUUUCCGGUCCCUGGACCUGUUAUAGGAAUACAUAUGUGUAAUGAAUCGCUGGAAAACUGAUUGUCCAACUUUUUCUCACUUCAGAGUAUUAGUAAUUCCAUGCACAAACUAUAACGACAAACAGUACAAUGGUACUGCAUCUGCGUACCUGUUAUAUCCAACAGAAUGUACCCCUAUAUGUAAUCGGUUACAAUAACGUCCAAAAGUUCUUGGACUUUCCAAUGCCAAUUUUCACGAUACCGGAUGUUGCCCAGCCUCACUCGUUCUACCUUGCCGACUGGUAAUCAAGCGGUCUUACUGCUUCUGAAUUGUGUCUAACGAAAGCAGCACCUUGCGAUGCCAGUGUUGGCGGUAUUAUUGAUUAACGUAGGUGGAGGCAAAGUCGGUGCAAAAAUCAAUAAUCGGCAGCCCCUUUGCCUCUGGACAUUUUCGCCGGGAAUUGCGCUGUCAGAGUGCAUUCGAAAGAUUUCAGUGCAAGACCUUUCGCUCUUUGCGAUGAUAACAAUUGUAUUAAGGCCAAGACUUCGUACCGGGCCGUGAAAGGUUGCGCAAAAGAAAACAGUUCGUCCUUAGAUACUACGUUUUGUAGACAUCGCUAAUCCGCGUUGCAGUGCAAUUGAUGCAAAAUAUAAUUAUGGGACCCGUGGGAGUCGCCGAAGGGAAAACGUUAAAUGAAACUACAAGCAAACUGCAGAGUACGAAUAACACGUGGUACCAGUGACUUCGGAGAGUGUGUCGUUUAUUUGUUGUUGUUCAGUUCUUUUUCCGUCAACCGUUGCGGACUUGAACCGAAUAAAUCACAAAUAUCAGUCCGAAGGAAGUGGGCCCGAGGCCCGAAUUAAAUACGAGGAUAUCCGGGAAAGGAAGCGACUGCUUGCUGGAGGACUUCCUACCAAAGUCGCCUAACCAGUCAGUUUGAAGCGUACGGAUUUUGCGAAAAGUUGCAAAAGCGGUCAGCGGUGACGCCAUAGAACCCGGUCGAUAUCGAGAACCAGAGGGCGCCUUGGACGAAUUCCUAUGCGACAAGAAUCUCAGACCGGCGUGAAGCUGCGGCCUUUCAGCGAACAUCAUCACGGGGGCGGCGGCGGCGGCGGCGACGGCGGGGUAAUGAUCGAACAAGACAUGGCCGGGGCCCAGGACACCAUCUACCUGUGCAACUUCCGGGUAUCCGUCGACGGGGAAUGGCUAUGCCUGAAGGAGCUUCAGGACGUCGAAUUCUCGAUGCAGGACUCCAUGCAGCGUUCACCGUCACCUCCGUUGCCGCUUAGCGGUACAAACCACCAUCACGAACGACACCGUCACCAACGACACGAAACUCCUUCGCUUUGCGACGCACUUAUGUCCAGCUCGCCACCAUUGCCACUCUUCUCCAGCUUCUUGUCACGAGAUCCAGUGAUUAUCGAACGAAGCAACCUAGUCAAUAUUUCGAAGCUGAUCGUUAAGGAAUUGAUCGAGACGUCUCUGAAAUAUGGACGUAUGCUGGACUCGGAUCAUAUGCCUUUGCAGCAUUUUUUCAUCGUCCUCGAACACGUCCUUAGACACGGAUUACGGCCUAAGAAGGGACUCCUUGGCCCGAAAAAAGAACUCUGGGACAUUCUUCAACUUGUGGAAAAAUACUGUCCCGAAGCACAAGAUAUCACCUCAAGUAUCCGCGACCUACCGACCGUCAGGACAGCGAUGGGCCGAGCACGAGCUUGGCUGAGGAUGGCGCUGAUGCAAAAAAAACUUGCGGAUUACCUAAAAGUGCUAAUCGAUCACAAGGACGACAUUCUAUCUGAAUACUUUGAACCGGACGCACUAAUGAUGAGCGACGAAGCCAUUGUUGUAAUGGGUUUGCUGGUUGGCCUCAAUGUUAUAGACUGCAACUUCUGUGUCAAGGAAGAAGACCUGGACUGCCAGCAGGGUGUAAUCGACUUCUCCCUUUACCUCAGAAGCAGCAAUCACAUUCCAGGCGAAUCACCGGACGACGAACUGGAGAACGACAAUAUGACCACUGUUCUAGACCAAAAGAAUUACAUCGAGGAGCUGAACAGGCAUCUAAAUGCGACUGUAACGAAUCUACAAACAAAGGUCGAAUCUCUCACCACGACGAAUGCCCUCAUGAAGGAAGAUCUGGCAAUUGCGAAAAACAAUAUUCUCUCACUCCAUGACGAGAACAGGCAACUGAAAAAAGAACUGGGCAUCGAAGUCAAGGAUCCAAACGAGAACGGAAAAGCACCCGUCAAAAUCACAGAGACUACGUCAGAGAUAGAGGAGUUGAGAAGUAGGCUAGAAGUGGAAAAAAAGCAAAGACUUGAGGCUGAAAGGGAACUGGAAUUACAGGUCAGCAUGAAGUCGGAAAUGGAGGUUGCCAUGAAAUUGUUGGAAAAAGAUAUCCACGAGAAACAAGACACUAUAAUAUCUCUGAGAAGGCAGCUGGAUGACAUCAAAUCGAUCAAUUUGGAGAUGUACAAAAAGCUGCAGGAGUGCGAGCACGAGCUGACGCAGAAAGGUGAGAUGGUGAGCCGGCUUCAUGCCAAGACGAAUCAGAUCGGAAAGUUACUGAACAACCUCGAGAAAUACAACCAUCUAAUGAAAGAUGCGGAAUGCGGUCGGAGUCCAACAACUCCAGUAACCGGAUCCAAGUCUUUUGUAAAAAAUAGUCCCACCUCGCCUAGGGUGUCCGUUGGCGAACUCGCUCGGUUCCAGCAGUCGGACCCUGAUCGGACAGCCAAUUCGGAAAAAGUACCGAGAGAAGCUUCCAUCGAGGAAGCGAAAGAUUGAGGCGUCCUAGGAUUGAGCUUACCGCUUCUUGUUUUUUACUCUUCGUUUUCGUUUUCCUUAUGGAACCAGCUCUUCACGAGUGUUUCGCAUUGAUUUGGCGCGGUAUCCACUCAAAGUUUAAAAACGUGAGGUUCGAGAGCGAAGCGUAUAACAAAAAUCAACGGAUAUUCGCUUCUAGUAUCCCUUAACAAAAUUCAAACGGCUAAUUGGUUCGCUGGUAGUGAGAAUUUGUCAAUAUGUUUUUUUUUUAUUUCCAAACUAUGAUUUCAGUUUUAUCUUUGCAACGGUAUAUAGCUGUGUAGCAGGCGCUUUGUUCUAGGGAUAUUAUUAUUGAUUGUUGGGGAUUCUAUGCUUCGCCGCGAACCAUUUUUAUAAUUAUGUUUUCCAUGGUACAAGUUUUUCCGGCUAACCCCAGGUCCACUAAGCCUAUCAUGAUACGUGAUAGUUCAAGCUGAUAAGAACGAAUUCUUGGUUGGAUUAGUGCCCAUGGCAAGUUAUUAGAUUGAUUUGCUGAAAAACAGUUGUCCUUUAUCCGAUUGAUGAAUUAUUUUCUAAUUUAAUUACAUCCGAUGGUGAGAAAAUUUGGCUGGUUCGUUAUUUGCGUACUGACUUCGCUGGAUUUGAGAUAUUCGCAGUAUGAAACCGCGAAACAUCAUUCCUUUGCUAUGUAUCUAAUUUAUUUACAUUGAGAAAAAUAUUAGUUCGUAAUUGUAUUACAGAAAUGUGAUUUUAUGUUCCGAUUGUUUUUCAGCUGUAUCCGUACUCGGUUCAUAUUUUGGACGCACAUGAUAUUAGGCACAGCAUCUAUACUCUGAAUAAUUAGCUUUGAAUCUAGAGAUUUAACGUGCGCCGAAAGCAUGGAAAUUGUAAUUAAUAUUUUUAAAAUAUUUCCAGCACGGUUACAGCGAGACGUUACCAUCGAUACUACGAAACAUUGUUUCAACGAUAUAAUUAAGAGAGAUUUAUUUCAGGAGUGUGAGGGCUCGCUUAAGCAUAAGACAGAACUGAUCAGUAAGCUGGAAGCAAAGACACAUUCCAUGACUGACACCAUUCAGAAAAUGGAUGAGAAAUGCAAGGUGCUGGAGGGCAUCCGUUCCGGUGCCGAGGAG